rnacentral:rRNA from 1 species
CCUACGGGGUGCAGCAGUGGGGAAUAUUGGACAAUGGGCGAAAGCCUGAUCCAGCCAUGCCGCGUGUGUGAAGAAGGCCUUCGGGUUGUAAAGCACUUUCAGUGGGGAAGAAAGCCUUGGGGCUAAUACCCUCGAGGAAGGACAUCACCCACAGAAGAAGCCCCGGCUAACUCCGUGCCAGCAGCCGCGGUAAUACGGAGGGUGCGAGCGUUAAUCGGAAUUACUGGGCGUAAAGCGCGCGUAGGCGGUCUGAUAAGCCGGUUGUGAAAGCCCCGGGCUCAACCUGGGAACGGCAUCCGGAACUGUCAGGCUAGAGUGCAGGAGAGGAAGGUAGAAUUCCCGGUGUAGCGGUGAAAUGCGUAGAGAUCGGGAGGAAUACCAGUGGCGAAGGCGGCCUUCUGGACUGACACUGACGCUGAGGUGCGAAAGCGUGGGUAGCAAACAGGAUUAGAUACCCGUGUAGUC